GAGGGAUUUGGAUCAUCUGUAUUCUGUCCAUAUUUCAACUCCAUUCUCAGAGAGAGAGAGAGAGAGAGAGAGAGAGAUGGAUAGGAGAGAAGUGAAGGACGAAGAAGAAGAGCAUGAGAUUGUGAUAGUCGGCGGUGGGAUUUGCGGUCUUGCCACCGCCCUUGCUCUACACAGGAAGGGUGUGAGAAGUGUGGUUUUGGAAAAAUCAGAGACUUUGAGGGCAACUGGUGCAGCUAUUGCGAUCUUGGAUAAUGGUUGGCUCGCUCUUCAUCAGCUUGGCCUCGCUUCUCUUCUCAGACAAUCUUCUCUUCCUCUUCAGCGGUAUAUAUAUAUAUAUAUAUAUUCACACACUAGAUGUUUGAAUUUUCCAUGUGUGUUUGAAAUUCAUAGUUGUAAGGAUUGGGCUUCCUCCCUGUCCAAAUCUCGACCGGAGGCUGCUAUCUACGGGUUUGAUUUUGAUUUUAAUGAUUUGAACCCAUCAUCUUAUUAGAUUUAGAUUUUGCGUGUAUGUAGAUUAGGUCCAUAUGAUAUUCGUAGGCAAUUAAUUUUAUCGAAUUGGUCUCUAAAAAAAUUAACGGUGAAUGUGUUUUAAAAAUAAAUUAUCUAUUUUUGUGAUAAAAUAAACAAUUUAUCUAAUUUUUUUUUUUAUAUAACAAAAUGAACAGUUUAGAUUAUUGUAACGGACCAUGAUAGCCCUGUGAGCCCUUACAAUAACUGGCCAUGAUAGCCCUGUGAGCCCUUACAAUAUCCUUUUGGACUGGAGAAAAAUCGAUCCCAAUAAUAUAUAUACAUACCCCAGUAAUGAUGUUUGUAGUUUUUAUUUAUGAAUUAUUGUGUUGUAUUUGUUAUAAUUUGGUUACAACCGAAAAUGUUUUUUAUUAUACCUUUAUAUGGUAUUUGGUUAUCACUCAUUAAAUUUUUGAUAAUAACUUCCUUACGAAAAUGAAUCACUCAUAGAAUAGAUAUACAAAUUUACAUCUUUUUUUCGCCCUACCACGUACUGAUUGAUAAGUCAAUGAUUUACUUUGUGUUUUUAUAUUCCGCAUAUAAGGGUCCCAGAAGUGUUAUUCAUUAGAGAAAUGCUAUUCCUAUUUCAAUUUUUUAUAAAUGCUCUAAAAGAAAGAAAAGAGUGAUGGAGGACAUGAACAAAAUAGAGGACCAAAAAAUAAAAUUAUAUGAUUAUUAUUUAUUAUGACUUGGAUAACUCCAACAUGGAGCCUUAUGCAAAAGCUUAUUAUCUUAUCAAUGAAGUAAAAGCGAGAUUUAUGUUAAAAUAAUAUCACAGUCAACAACCUCCAAUUUUGAUGGGAACUUUUUCUGAUUUUCCAUGAUUAUUUUUUUUGUUUUGUUUUAUGCAAUUUUUAUUUAUUUUGUAACUUUGACUUAAAUUAGUAGUUAGUGAAUGGUGGUUGAUAAGUAGUGAAAAACGAGUUACAAAUACAAUAACAAUACUAUACUGCUUGAGCACCUUUGCUAUUUUAGCAUAAUAAAUAUUAAUGAAUGGAGCAACUCAUAACAAGUCUGUUUAUGUGCACUUUUACUGUGAUAAAAUAACUCCUAAAAAGAAAAUUUUCUACACCUUUGGAAAUGCUCUUAGGUAUGAAGCUUAAAGCAACACAUUGGGUAUGGAGAUCCAAGUUUUGUAUUGGGGAGCACCAAAAUGAUG